GACGAACGCUGGCGGCGUGCUUAACACAUGCAAGUCGAGCGGAAAGGCCACUUCGGUGGUACUCGAGCGGCGAACGGGUGAGUAACACGUGAGUAAUCUGCCCCUGGCUUUGGGAUAGCCACCGGAAACGGUGAUUAAUACCGGAUACGACCACUUCUCGCAUGGGAUGGUGGUGGAAAGUUUUUUCGGCCAGGGAUGUGCUCGCGGCCUAUCAGCUUGAUGGUGAGGUAAUGGCUCACCAUGGCUUCGACGGGUAGCCGGACUGAGAGGGUGACCGGUCACACUGGGACUGAGACACGGCCCAGACUCCUACGGGAGGCAGCAGUGGGGAAUAUUGGACAAUGGGCGGAAGCCUGAUCCAGCAACGCCGCGUGAGGGAUGACGGCCUUCGGGUUGUAAACCUCUUUCAGCAGGGACGAAGCGCAAGUGACAGUACCUGCAGAAGAAGCGCCGGCCAACUACGUGCCAGCCGCCGCGGUAA
rnacentral:rRNA from 1 species